rnacentral:rRNA from 1 species
AACGAACGCUGGCGGCGUGCUUAACACAUGCAAGUCGAGUGCGCGGUUGUAGCAAUACAACUGGCGCACGGCGCACGGGUGCGUAACACGUGGGCAAUCUGCCCUCCGAUGGGGAAUAACCCCGCGAAAGCGGGGCUAAUUCCGCAUAACAUUCCCUGGACUCUGGUUCGGGGAUUCAAAGCAGCAAUGCGUCGGAGGAGGAGCCCGCGCCCGAUUAGCUAGUUGGUGAGGUAACGGCUCACCAAGGCAAUGAUCGGUAGCUGGUCUGAG